GCUUGCUAAGAUUGAUGGCGACCGGCGCACGGGUGAGUAACACGUAUCCAACCUGCCGUCUACUCUUGGACAGCCUUCUGAAAGGAAGAUUAAUACAAGAUGGCAUCAUGAGUCCGCAUGUUCACAUGAUUAAAGGUAUUCCGGUAGACGAUGGGGAUGCGUUCCAUUAGAUAGUAGGCGGGGUAACGGCCCACCUAGUCUUCGAUGGAUAGGGGUUCUGAGAGGAAGGUCCCCCACAUUGGAACUGAGACACGGUCCAUACUCCUACGGGAGGCAGCAGUGAGGAAUAUUGGUCAAUGGGCGAGAGCCUGAACCAGCCAAGUAGCGUGAAGGAUGACUGCCCUAUGGGUUGUAAACUUCUUUUAUAAAGGAAUAAAGUCGGGUAUGCAUACCCGUUUGCAUGUACUUUAUGAAUAAGGAUCGGCUAACUCCGUGCCAGCAGCCGCGGUAAUACGGAGGAUCCGAGCGUUAUCCGGAUUUAUUGGGUUUAAAGGGAGCGUAGAUGGAUGUUUAAGUCAGUUGUGAAAGUUUGCGGCUCAACCGUAAAAUUGCAGUUGAUACUGGAUAUCUUGAGUGCAGUUGAGGCAGGCGGAAUUCGUGGUGUAGCGGUGAAAUGCUUAGAUAUCACGAAGAACUCCGAUUGCGAAGGCAGCCUGCUAAGCUGCAACUGACAUUGAGGCUCGAAAGUGUGGGUAUCAAACAGGAUUAGAUACCCUGGUAGUCCACACGGUAAACGAUGAAUACUCGCUGUUUGCGAUAUACGGCAAGCGGCCAAGCGAAAGCGUUAAGUAUUCCACCUGGGGAGUAC
rnacentral:rRNA from 1 species